rnacentral:tRNA from 1 species
CUUAGCUCAGCUGGAUAGAGUGUUUGACUACGAAUCAAAAGGUCGAGGGUUCGAAUCCCCCAG